CCUACGGGCGGCUGCAGUGGGGAAUAUUGGACAAUGGGGGGAACCCUGAUCCAGCCAUGCCGCGUGUGUGAAGAAGGCCCUCGGGUUGUAAAGCACUUUCAGUGAGGAAGAACGCCUGGUGGUUAAUACCCAUCAGGAAAGACAUCACUCACAGAAGAAGCACCGGCUAACUCCUUGCCAGCAGCCGCGGUAAUACGGAGGGUGCGAGCGUUAAUCGGAAUUACUGGGCGUAAAGCGCGCGUAGGUGGCUUGAUAAGCCGGUUGUGAAAGCCCCGGGCUCAACCUGGGAACGGCAUCCGGAACUGUCAAGCUAGAGUGCAGGAGAGGAAGGUAGAAUUCCCGGUGUAGCGGUGAAAUGCGUAGAGAUCGGGAGGAAUACCAGUGGCGAAGGCGGCCUUCUGGACUGACACUGACACUGAGGUGCGAAAGCGUGGGUAGCAAACAGGAUUAGAUACCCGAGUAGUC
rnacentral:rRNA from 1 species